rnacentral:rRNA from 1 species
UAGGGAAUAUUGCACAAUGGGGGAAACCCUGAUGCAGCGACGCCGCGUGAGUGAUGAAGGCCUUCGGGUCGUAAAGCUCUGUCGUAUGGGAAUAACAAAAUGAAUGUACCAUGCAAGAAAGGAUCGGCUAACUUCGUGCCAGCAGCCGCGGUAAGACGAGGGAUCCUAGCGUUGUUCGGAAUCAUUGGGCGUAAAGCGGGUGUAGGCGGACUUAUAAGUCAGGUGUGAAAUCCCAGGGCUCAACCCUGGAAGUGCACUUGAUACUGCAAGUCUUGAGUGUGGUAGAGGCUAUUAGAAUUCUUGGUGUAGUGGUGAAAUACGUAGAUAUCAAGAGGAAUACCGGAGGCGAAGGCGGAUAGCUGGGCCAACACUGACGCUGAGACCCGAAAGCGUGGGGAUCAAACA